CCGACCUUAGCUCAGUUGGAAGAGCGCAAGACUGUAAUUGGAAACACCUUGAUCAUCUUGAUGUCGCCUGUUCGAGCCAGGCAGGUCGGA
rfam:Coprinopsis cinerea okayama7#130 chromosome 12 cont3.12, whole genome shotgun sequence.